UAAUGAAGCUCAUAGAGCAUUUGGAGCAAUCCGGUAGAUGAAUGGAGGAGCUCAUUAUCGGAGAAGUCCGGAUGGUAUUAUGGAAGCUCGAAUGGUCGGGGGAGUUCAGAAAGAUGCCACACAGGGUCGGAAGCCGAAAGAGCCUUGGGAGGGUCGGCCUUUUACGAACAUCGGCUGGGGUUAUUUUAUACCCAACACCAGUCCCCCUACUUCCGAGUUCGAGUUUCGAAUGAAAGAAGUACGAAAAAAUUUUCACAGCCGAAGUUGCCCUCCUCGAUUUUCAUACUCGAUUGUUUCCAGAUAUUUUGGCAUUUGGCGCACUGGUGCUGGAGCCUUUUCAAAUCAAGACGAUCUGAAAAGAUUUUUUUAGAAUUUUCACUGGAGCGUUGCUCUAAGUACGGUGCAAUAAAGAUUCUAUCAGUUGUCAGCCACUUUCAGCCGCC
rnacentral:lncRNA from 1 species